GGAAAGGUGACCGAGUGGUUUAAGGUAGCAGUCUUGAAAACUGCCGUGUUAGUAGCACCGUGGGUUCGAAUCCCACCCUUUCCG
rnacentral:tRNA from 1 species